UAAUACGUACCGUCCAAACGUUAUUCGGAAUUACUGGGCUUAAAGGGUACGUAGGCGGCGCUGUCAGUCGGGUGUGAAAUCCCACGGCUCAACCGUGGAACUGCGCCCGAUACUGCAGUGCUUGAGGGAGACAGAGGUAAGCGGAACUGAUGGUGGAGCGGUGAAAUGCGUUGAUAUCAUCAGGAACACCGGUGGCGAAAGCGGCUUACUGGGUCUCUUCUGACGCUGAGGUACGAAAGCCAGGGGAGCGAAGGGGAUUAGAUACCCCCGUAGUCCUGGCCGUAAACGUUGAGCACUUGAUCGUGGGGCCCCCCAUAGCCUCUCGGUCGUAGCGAAAGUGUUAAGUGCUCCGCCUGGGGAGUAUGGUCGCAAGGCUG
rnacentral:rRNA from 1 species